rnacentral:rRNA from 1 species
AACCUGCCCAAGAGAUCGGGAUAACACCUGGAAACAGAUGCUAAUACCGGAUAACAACAGAUGAUGCCUAUCAACUGUUUAAAAGAUGGUUCUGCUAUCACUCUUGGAUGGACCUGCGGUGCAUUAGCUAGUUGGUAGGGUAACGGCCUACCAAGGCGAUGAUGCAUAGCCGAGUUGAGAGACUGAUCGGCCACAUUGGGACUGAGACACGGCCCAAACUCCUACGGGAGGCAGUAGCG